rnacentral:sRNA from 1 species
CAACAGCUGCGCGCCCGCCUAGCGCUGCGAACCCGGAGUGAGAGGCGCUUCAGAGACCGGAGGGACGGACCUGCAGGAGCCAGGGCUGCCCGCCGAGCUGCAGUUGCCGCUACUGCCGCUGUCAGCGCCCGACUGAAGAGUGACAGUCGCAAAAGCAGGAGUGAGCACCGAACCCCGCGCUUCUACCUAACAGGUGCAUGCGCCGAUCUGGUGAGUGGACCCAGCUCGCAAGAUCUCAGGUAACCCAUUCAUGAGCCUGAGGCUGUGAGAAAUGCUCGCUGUGCAAAGGGGAACUCUCACCAGAUUUUCUGAAGCUGUUCUAGAAAUACACUUUUCGGAUUGAUUCAGCAUUACCAGCUUAUCCAACAAAGGUAUUAACAUAUACAUUAACAACGUCGAAAGUAGCCUACUUUAAGAGAAAAUAUGCAGAAGAAGAAGAUUUACAUCAAGAUUACCAUGGGUAUUUUCCAAAACACCUGAUAUUACCUGAGGACAGAACUUGCAUUCUCAAACUUUCUCUGGAGAAGCUCAGGUUUCUUGAAGACCCAGAAACCUACUUAAGAAGGUCUGUGUUAAUUAACAAUUUGCUGAGGAAGAUACAUCUAGAGACGGAGAAAGAGAGCUAUGAAUACUUUAAAGAAGCUCCCUGUUAUAAGACUGCAUAUUCUGAUACAAGAAAACGGCUGAAGUUUAUGGUACAGGAAUGCUGUUCUCAGUCUCUCUAUUAUGAAGAGCUGCAUUCGUAUCAUAUUGUGCCUUAUGCUUCGGAGAAUGCCAUUUAUGAAAUGGGCUACACUAGCAGCCACUUGGAGCAAAAUUCUCAGUUGCUUAUUUAUAAAAUGAAUUAAAGUAACUGUUAAGUCCA